UACGAAGGGGACUAGCGUUGUUCGGAUUUACUGGGCGUAAAGCGCGCGUAGGCGGAUCGCUAAGUCAGGGGUGAAAUCCCAGGGCUCAACCCUGGAACUGCCUUUGAUACUGACGAUCUGGAGAUCGGGAGAGGUUGGUGGAAUUCCGAGUGUAGAGGUGAAAUUCGUAGAUAUCGUAAGGAAGACCAGUGGCGAAGGCGGGUCACUGGCCCGGUACUGACGCUGAGGCGCGAAAGCGUGGGGAGCAAACAGG
rnacentral:rRNA from 1 species